CUAGAACAGAAUAGCCUGAUGGCAGAGAUGAAGUGUGCAUGGCUCCAGCAGCACGGACUCCUCUCAUUAAGGCUGAUCUAGCUACUGUUGCUGCCCCAUGUCUAACUUGCCAGCAACGGAGACCAAAGUUGAGCCCCGGAAUCAGCACCAUUCCUCAUAGAGACCAGCUAGUCACUGGGUGGAAGAGGGACCAAGCAAAACCCCAGAAGAGUUGAUCUCAAAGCUUAUUUUAUGAAGAAAAUUGACCUGAGUGACACAAAGGGUUGGACUGUAGUAGAUGUCACGUUUUGCUGCCUAGAUCUCCAUCCAGGGAUGAACUCUUAUUUCCUCAGCUUCUUUGUCUCCUCAGCUUCUGGGAGGGUUGGCAGCUGAUAUUCUCACCUGAGUCCCUUUCUAGGACUUGCCCUUGCCUGAAGAGAGCUGUGCUGCCCAACAUGAUGCCUCCUCCAAGGUACAAUCCACACCCAGUGACUAAUAAACAGGGGUUACAAAGGCAUGCCUGCUUGCCCCAGUUUGGGACAACUUUACCAGGCCAACCCAGCCUCAAGGCUCUCCACAGGAACAGGUGAGGCCAUAGUUGUGAUUACAUCACAGGUCAGUUUCUCCUCUGCCCAAGCCUUCUUCCUUCAUUCCUCCACAGAUGCUGAUCCUGAGAUUCCUUUCCAGUAAAC
rnacentral:lncRNA from 10 species